UAGUGGCGGUAAAGAUGCCGUCUACCCGCAGUAGGACGAAAAGACCCCGGAACCUUUACUGUAGGCUGGUAUUGAAUUUUGGUCCGGUAUGUGUAGGAUAGGUGGGAGGCUUUGAAGCGCAGGCGUCAGCUUGCGCAGAGCCGCCGGUGAAAUACCACCCUUAUUGUACUAAGAUUCUAACCCUAUUUUUAGGAGACAGUGCCAGUUGGGCAGUUUAACUGGGGCGGUUUCCUCCUAAAAGGUAACGGAGGAGCCCAAAGGUACCCUCAGUACGAUUGGAAACCGUACGUCGAGUGUAAAGGCAAAUGGGUGCUUGACUGUGAAGCCGACAGGCCGAGCAGAGCGGAAACGCGGGCUUAGUGAUCCGGUGGUUGCGCGUGGGAGCGCCAUCGCUCAACGGAUAAAAGGUACUCCGGGGAUAACAGGCUUAUCGGGCCCGAGAGUUCACAUCGACGGCCCGGUUUGUUAAAGCGGUACGUGAGCUGGGUUCAGAACGUCGUGAGACAGUAAGUGACCGUUGCUGUCUAUAAAUCUGGCUAUAUGCUGGAAAGUCCGGUGUAUCAUUCACUACUUGACAAGAGAAUACAUAGAGAUAUAUUAUCUCUAUGUCAAGUAAAAAUGUGAAAUGUGCGGAUAAUCAGCAGGCAAGGAAAGCAGAUGUUCCUGAUGAGUAUUUAGCGGGAUUUGUUGAUGGAGAGGGUUGUUUCUAUGUAGGGUUUAGUCAACGUCAGGAUUUGCCAUUAAAGUGGCAAAUAAUUACAGAAUUUCAUCUCAGUCAAAAUCCAAGCGGCAAGAAUAUUUUACAGGCUUUUCAAAAAAGAUUAGGUUGUGGAUAUAUUAAGCCUAAUCAUCUCAAGAAUAAAAGAGAUAAAACGUGGGUUUUGAUUGUGAAGAAUAGAAAUGACCUUAGAAGUAAGCUAAUACCGUUCUUUAGAAAGCACUAUCUUCAUUCACAAAAACAUAAAGACUUUCUUGUAUUUGCUGAGGUAAUAGAGCUAAUAAAUAAGGGGAUGCAUCUAGGGGAAAGAAGAAUUUGAAAAGAUUGUAGAGUUAGUUUUCCAAUUACCUCGGCCCAGAAGAAAAUACUCAAAAGAUAUUUUGCUUUCCAGCCUCAGAGACUAUACGCCAGACUUCAAUAUUACAAGUUGAAGAAGAUAUAGUCCGAGCUCACGCGCGAGCGUGAGAACCAAGCAGAAAUGACUUGGUCGCUUUUGGCAUUAAAAAUGUCAGAGGUUAGAAAGUAACAGAACUGUCGGUCUCUAUCCACUGUGGGUGUAAGGAUCCUUGAAGAGGAGCUGUCCCUAGUACGAGAGGACCGGGACAGAGGAACCUCCGGUUUACCAGCUAUUCCGCCAGGAGUAAAGGCUGGGUAGCCGUGUUCCUAGAAAAUAAGCGCUGAAGGCAUCUAAGCGCGAAGUUUACCUCGAAACUAGGGAUCCCUCUCCGACGUUACGUUGGAGUGAAGGCUGGUUGGAGACUACAACCUAUAUAGGGUGCAGGUGUAAGGCACGUAAGUGUUUCAGCCGAGCACUCCUAAUAGCCAA
rnacentral:ncRNA from 1 species